rnacentral:rRNA from 1 species
AGUCAUAUGCUUGUCUCAAAGAUUAAGCCAUGCAUGUCUCAGUACAAGCCGAAUUAAGGUGAAACCGCGAAAGGCUCAUUAAAUCAGUUAUGGUUCCUUAGAUCGUACCCACAUUUACUUGGAUAACUGUGGUAAUUCUAGAGCUAAUACAUGCAAACAGAGGUCCGACCGGAGACGGAAGGAUCGCUUUUAUUAGAUCAAAACCAAUCGGCGGCGUUCGCGCCGUCGUAACAAACUUGGCGAGACUGAAUAACUUACUGCUGAUCGCACGGUCCAGCACCGGCGACGCAUCUUUCAAAUGUCUGCCUUAUCAACUGUCGAUGGUAGGUUCUGCGCCUACCAUGGUUGUAACGGGUAACGGGGAAUCAGGGUUCGAUUCCGGAGAGGGAGCCUGAGAAACGGCUACCACAUCCAAGGAAGGCAGCAGGCGCGCAAAUUACCCACUCCCGGCACGGGGAGGUAGUGACGAAAAAUAACGAUACGGGACUCAUCCGAGGCCCCGUAAUCGGAAUGAGUACACUUUAAAUCAUUUAACGAUGAUCAAUUGGAGGGAAAGUCUGGUGCCAGCAGCCGCGGUAAUUCCAGCUCCAAUAGCGUAUAUUAAAGUUGUUGCGGUUAAAAAGCUCGUAGUCGAAUCUGUGUCCCGCGCCGCCGGUUCAUCGCUCGCGGUGUUUAACUGGCGUGUUCGCGGGACGUCCUGCCGGUGAGCUCCAGCCGGCGGCCGCACCUUUCGGGGGGCGCGCCGUCGGCGGCUCAACGUACACCUGUCGCGGUGCUCUUAACUGAGUGUCUCGGCGGGCCGGCACGUUUACUUUGAACAAAUUAAAGUGCUUAAAGCAGGCUAAAAUUUCGCCUGAAUACUGUGUGCAUGGAAUAAUAGAAUAGGACCUCGGUUCGAUUUUGUUGGUUUUCAGAACUCAGAGGUAAUGAUUAAUAGGAACGGAUGGGGGCAUUCGUAUUGCGACGUUAGAGGUGAAAUUCUUGGAUCGUCGCAAGACGGACAUAAGCGAAAGCAUUUGCCAAAAACGUUUUCAUUGAUCAAGAACGAAAGUUAGAGGUUCGAAGGCGAUCAGAUACCGCCCUAGUUCUAACCAUAAACGAUGCCAGCUAGCGAUCCGCCGACGUUCCUCCGAUGACUCGGCGGGCAGCUUCCGGGAAACCAAAGCUUUUGGGUUCCGGGGGAAGUAUGGUUGCAAAGCUGAAACUUAAAGGAAUUGACGGAAGGGCACCACCAGGAGUGGAGCCUGCGGCUUAAUUUGACUCAACACGGGAAACCUCACCAGGCCCGGACACCGGAAGGAUUGACAGAUUGAGAGCUCUUUCUUGAUUCGGUGGGUUGUGGUGCAUGGCCGUUCUUAGUUGGUGGAGCGAUUUGUCUGGUUAAUUCCGAUAACGAACGAGACUCUACCCUGCUAAAUAGGCGGCACUAGCUAUCUCAAAGGUCCGCUUGGCCCGGCGCCUCGUGCGUCGACGUUAAGCGCGAUUUUUACUAGCUGCGUUAAUUAAAUUCUUCUUAGAGGGACAAGCGGCUCUUAGCCGUACGAAAUAGAGCAAUAACAGGUCUGGAAUGCCCUUAGAUGUCCUGGGCCGCACGCGCGCUACACUGAAGGAAUCAGCGUGUCCUCCCUGACCGAAAGGUUCGGGUAACCCGCUGAACCUCCUUCGUGCUAGGGAUUGGGGCUUGCAAUUGUUCCCCAUGAACGAGGAAUUCCCAGUAAGCGCGAGUCAUAAGCUCGCGUUGAUUAAGUCCCUGCCCUUUGUACACACCGCCCGUCGCUACUACCGAUUGAAUGAUUUAGUGAGGUCUUCGGACCGGGACUCGGUGACGUUCGCGCGCCGGUGCACCUGGGAAGAUGACCAAACUUGAUUAUUUAGAGGAAGUAAAA